GAGGAGUAAGGCAAGGGAUUGUCCUCUUCACCCACUGAUGAUCCAUCAUUCACCCACAUCUUCUAAUGCAGUUGAUAACCAUGUUGUUCAACAAACACCUCUUGGAAGCAGAUGUUGCUGUCCUUACCAAGCUUACACUCAGCAGUUGACCUCACAUUCAGGUAUUGGAUCUCAAGCUUCAUUUAAAGCUCCAAUAUCAAUUGAAUUAGAUCUUGGACUGGUGAAAUCUCUUGCUAGAUGAAGUAAAUCAGAAAUUGACAUUGCUCAAGGUUGGCUAAGAGGUGGCCAAUGUGGCGAAACUUGUGUCCAUCAGAACUUUACCACAAUUGCACCAUGUUUGCCUUGUAUAUCUACUUCUUUUGCCUUGUUCUUUUUUGAAUAGAAUCCUAAACUUUAUGCUUGUGCUAUCAGCCACAAUGAUUGCAGUUAUUGUGCGUUCUUCUUAAUUUGUAAUAUGUUAAUUCUUAAUUUUCUAUGGUAAUUAAAAUGUAGGUCUCCUUGCUUAUUUUAGUGAUAUUGAGUUGUGGCUUCAUAAUAAUUAACACAUAUCUUCAUUCACCUUUUUUUAUUUUGUUUGGAUGUGCAGCUAUGCAGUUUGGAGACCAGCAUCUUGGUCAUCUUAGUGAUCAUGUUGAUGACAGGGCUGUUGGUAGAUCUAUGAUUCAACCCCAAGCUGGUCUUGGAAAUUCUGAGAUGACUCGGUAUGCUAUCUUAUUAUUAAAUCAAAGUAUUUUUGUGAGUUUCCUCACUUAAGUUGCAUUUCUGCCCCUUGGAUGGUCACUAAGUUUAGCAUCUCAAUCAAACAUAGGCCCUUGGCUAAGCUGUCUUACCAAAGACAAUUUAUUAAGACUAACAAUAGAAUGAUUUAUCAGGAAAUAAUGUCCGUGCUAAUAAAAGGAAGAUUUCCUUGGAUUUUUUUUUUCAGAUUUAAAGUCUUAGCUCCCCUACCUUUGAAUCAAAUUCAUGUUUGUCCUGAUUAAUAAGUAAAAAUAUACUAGAAUCACUGUUUGAGAUGGUCCUUUUGCAAGCUGCCUAGACCGUAAGUAUUCUUCACUGUAAGUGCUUGUUGUUUGCUGAAUUGGCAUUCUGAUGUUAACAUACUAAGGGAAAUUCUCUUGUAGCUCCUUGACACUGAAACAUUGCACCCCUGAAGUCCAAACAGAGGAGUGGUGAAAUUGACCCAUAGGAUAUCUUGAUCACAAGUUAUAAUGUUCAUGCAAGGAGAAAUAGGUGUAAAUAAAAUAAGUCAACCAUUAAUUCAAUUUUGGAAUGGAAACAGGUAUUAGAAAGGAUGGUAUGGCCUGCCUAUCUAAGCUAUGUUUGAAAAGAAAAUGUUCAAGUUUUGCUUUCUCUGCUUCAUAAUGCAGACAAUUAUUUCUUUUUUUUUUUUUUUUUUUUAACAAAAUGUUAUAUAUGUCAUUUUCAAAAUCUUAUUAUAGAGGUAUACCUUUUUAUUGUUUGAAAUUAGAUCCCCAAGUUAAACCUGAAUGACAAUAUGAAGAUUGAUCAAAUUUAAUAUGAGUUUCAGCUAUAAUUUUUGUCAUGCACAUACGUAUUCUAUCUGAUAUGCAAUCCUUUUUUCAUGCUGCCAGUUAUGCUGGCUAUGAUUGGAGGUUUAGCACCUUAUUAUGUUCCUUAUAGUGCUGUUAUUAUACUUCCUCAUUCAGCAUGGAGUCUUUUUAAGGUAUUGCUAGGUCAGUUACAUUUACAGAUCUAUAUUUCCAAAUUCUCUAUAUGAAAUUUAGUAUUUCUCUGUGUAUUGAUAUCUGUAGUAGUUGAAAUCUUAUUAGGACCAGAAUAAGUGACAUUUUAUACUAUCAAAUGGCAAUGAGACUUAAACUCCAUUUGUCUUGAAUAUUCCUAAUUGAAUUCGUUCGUGCCUUGUUUGUUUGAUCCUCUAAAUGUAAGAAGUCUCAAACAUUACCAGAUUAUUUCUAGAUAGCGUGACUUUUAUGAGCAUGUAUUUUGGCGGUGCUAUUGUAUUUUUAACGUUAACAUGUUGAACUGUGAUGAGUUCUGCAUAUCCUGAAUUCAAACAAGUACCAGUGACACAAGCAUCUGUAAGAGCACAGUACAUUUUAGUCCCUUGGAAGUGAAGGACCAAAUUUGAUACUGUGAUUUUGCUCAUCUAAUAUAACUUCUACAAAAGUGUGGAUUUUUUUUCUUUUAUUUUUUGCUCAAUAUUUUAAGCAAUCUUAAUCACCCUGCCUAGAUCUUACAAACUUGAGUGUCACCGGAAUGAAUGUCAAGUAGGUUGAAUGUUGUGGGUGUUCAUUUUUUAGUGUAAAUUUGUUUUUUACAUUCCUUUAGAUCUUUUUUUCCAGUGUUCGAUAUUUUUCAUAUCCAAUGAUAUCCAUUUUUCAACAAUUUCAAUGCCUAAUUUUAUUUCCACUUGUUCAUUAUUUCAACUUUUUCUUUGAGUUUCUUUUCUGUUUAUGUGCUCAACCAGAUUUAUGUGCAUUCAGGAUGAAUUUGGGCAGGAAGAACUUUCGGGACCUCAAAGAUGAAAAGAAAUGGCCACAUGAUAAGUUUGAAGAGAUGAUGCGGAAGGACUCGGAAAAUAAAAAGUUUAAUGCCUACGCCAAAGUUCCGUCUAUUUCCUGAAUACUGUUUCUGAUUUCUGAACUUUUGAUAUGGUGGUGGGAAGAAAUAUUAGAUUGCUGCAUCUCUUAUGGCUUAAAUGUAAAGUUAUUUGUGGAGAUAUUAGUAUGCACAUUCUCUGAAUAUAUUUUCAGGUACAGAAUUUUUCUGAUAGCCAUCAUCAAGGAUACUAUAACAAUAAAAGCAGAGGUCGUGAUGUUAAAGCCAACCGAUUUAUACCCAAUGAUAACAAUAACAAUCAAGGCCCUUCAUCAAGAAUUGUGCGAGGGGGAGGGCAUGUGAAAUAUAAGCCUCUUAACAGCAGCAAUGAUGUAGAUCCACCUGGAAAUAUGGAGUAAGUUGCAAUUAUGAGACAUUUCCUGUUUACAUUGCCUUUUCAUAAUUGCCCGUUAGAUUUAUAUUUAUUUUCCUCAAAAUUUUCAGAUUGAGGAAGUCCCCUGGUAUAAAAUCAAAUGCUGAUUCAGCAAGAACGUGGUCAGACACUUCACAGGCAGACUCUGAUUCACUUGCUUCUAAGAAGAAGCAUUAUCAUGCAACUUCUUCCAAACCCGACAUCUCUGUGGCAAAUAAAAGGAAUGUACAGCCUAGUCUUCCAGGUUAUGAUGCAUGUAUACCACAUUACAAAGCAUAUAUGCAGGGGAACAAUGUAGAUGAUUAUUUUGAGAGGAACAGGCUUUCUGCUCAGGAGUCCAUAUUUCCAGUUGUUGAACAUCAUCAUACUGUUCUGCCUUUGCAGUCUUCAGUAACCACAUAUCCUGAUUCUUCCCAGCUGAGGAGUCAGGCAAGGGAUUGUCCUCUUCACCCACUGAUGAUCCAUCAUUCACCUACAUCUUCUAAUGCAGCUGAUAGGCAUAACCAUGUUGUUCAACAAACACCUCUUGGAAGCAGAUGUUGCUGUCCUUUACAAGCUUACACUCAGCAGUUGACCUCACAUUCAGGUAUUGAAUCUCAGGGUUCAUUUAAAGCUCCAAUACCAAUUGGAUUAGAUCUUGGACAGGUGAAAUCUCUUGCUAGAUGAAGUAAAUCAGAAAUUGGCAUUGCUCAAGGUUGGCUAAGAGGUGGCCAAUGUGGCGAAACUUGUGUCCAUCAGAACUUUACCACAAUUGCACCAUUUUUGCCUUGUAUAUCUACUUCUUUUGCCUUGUUCUGUUUUGAAUAGAACCCUAAACUUUAUGCUUGUGCUAUCAGCCACAAUGAUUGCAAUUAUUGUGCGUUCUUCUUAAUUUGUGAUAUAUUAAUUCUUAAUUUUCUAUGGUAAUUAAAAUGUAGGUCUCCUUGCUUAUUUUAGUGAUAUUGAGUUGUGGUUUACAUAAUAGUUAACACUAAUCUUCAUUCACCUUUUUUAUUUUGAAAUGUUUGGAUGUGCA
rnacentral:lncRNA from 1 species